rnacentral:rRNA from 1 species
CCUACGGGAGGCAGCAGUAGGGAAUAUUGCUCAAUGGGGGAAACCCUGAAGCAGCAACGCCGCGUGGAGGAUGAAGGUUUUCGGAGUGUAAACUCCUUUUGUUAGAGAAGAUAAUGACGGUAUCUAACGAAUAAGCACCGGCUAACUCCGUGCCAGCAGCCGCGGUAAUACGGAGGGUGCAAGCGUUACUCGGAAUCACUGGGCGUAAAGAGCGCGUAUGCGGGAUAGCAAGUCAGAUGUGAAAUCCUAUGGCUUAACCAUAGAACUGCAGUUGAAACUGUUAUUCUAGAGUAUGGGAGAGGUAGGUGGAAUGCUUGGUGUAGCGGUAAAAUCCGUAGAGAGCAAGAGGAAUACUCAUUGCGAAGGCGACCUGCUAGAACAUAACUGACGCUGAUGCGCGAAAGCGUGGGGAGCAAACAGGAUUAGAUACCCUUGUAGUC